AAUAAACGCUGGCGGCGUGCUUAACACAUGCAAGUCGAGCGAGAAAGCUCUUUCGGGAGUUAGUAAAGCGGCGAACGGGUGAGUAACGCGUAAGAAUUUACCCUUUAGUGAAGAAUACCCUCGAGAAAUUGAGGCUAAUACUGCAUAAGUCUCUUCGGAGAGAAAGGUGGCCUCUUGCUGCCGCUAAAGGAUAAGCUUGCGUACUAUUAGUUUGUUGGUGGGGUAAAGGCCUACCAAGACGAUGAUGGUUAGCCGGCCUGAGAGGGUGUACGGCCACACUGGAACUUAGACACGGUCCAG
rnacentral:rRNA from 1 species